rnacentral:lncRNA from 1 species
ACUAAAAUUACAAAAAAUUAGCCGGGUGUGUUGGCAGGCACCUGUAGUCCCAGCUACUUGGGAGGCUGAGGCAGGAGAAUUGCUUGAACCUGGGAGGCAUAGGUUGCAGUGAGCCGAGAUAGUACCACAGCACUCCAGCCUGGGUAACAGAGCAAGACUCUGUCUCAAAAAACAAAUAAAAAACAAAAUAAAAUAUGUGUGAAAGAGUAUAUAGUUGUACAGUUGUAUAUUGAUGAAUAGGUAUAUAGUUGUAAAAGUUUAUGUUUCUCUAAGUCCUAAUAACUUUUAAAAGAAACUGCAAGUAAAUUAUCACAGGAACAGAAAACGAAAUACUGCAUGUUCUCACAAGUGGGAGCUAAAUGAUGAGAACACAUGGACACAUAGAGGGGAACAACACACACUGGGGCCUAUUGAAGGGUGGAGGUUGGGAGGAGGGAGAGGAUCAGGAAAAAUAACUAAUGUGAGUACUAGGCUUAAUACCUGGGUGAUGAAAUAAUCUGUACAAACCCCCAUAACACGUUUACCUAUGUACCAAACCUGCACAUGUACCCCUGAACUUAAAAGUUUAAAAAAAGUGCAAAUAUACCUUAAAACAUAUGCCCAUUGCAGUAUUUGCUGGGAGGCAGCCUUUGUAGGGUUGACAGAACUUGUUUAGAAAAUGAGGAGCUACAUUCAAAGCUUAGGUCAAGAUAAAUUACAUGCCACUCUGAACCUAGGGCUUUUAUCUGCCAAAUAGUGAUUACAAUACUCAACCUCACAAUGUUCUCAAAAGGAAUAAUUGAGGUCAAGUACAUAUACAAAUAUAAAGUACAAUUAGUGUAAUGGAACAAGCCUCAGGUGUGUGUGGCUGUAAUUCUUGUUUUAUGAAUGCUGCAGUUCCUGGGAUAAUAGUCACUAAGGAAGAGGAUAGAGACUAGAACUGAAUGAGAUGGACAUAGAGAUGGCCAAGAGAAGCAUCGUCCUUUGCCAAGUCAUGGGGUCAUGUGUGGUGGAUGGUGACAUGGUGCCCUCAGCUCAGAGUCCAGCUGGGGGCUCAGAAGCAAGGUGGCUCUGUAUUAAAAGCCUAUUUGGAGAGCCACAACAGGGAGUUGUGAGCUAAGAGUGCUGAUCUUCGGGGGAGCUCAAAAUACUGCCAUUUAGGUAAAUAUACCUUUUGGCAUACUGAAAGGGCUAUGAAAUUUGAAUUUGAAUUACAUUUCUUUUUGGAGAGUGAUCUUUGAGGACUUGGUUUUAUGGGAUAACUUCUUUUUUCAAACCAUAUAAAAUGAUUUUU